ensembl:lncRNA
GAAAAUAAAACACAAUGCACCGCAAUAACGGGAUAGAAACCUUGUGGCUUCAAAAUAGGUGGGAAGAACACAACAAGAUGCACCUGAAAGCGCACAAGACAACCCUGCAAUUUAUGCCACGGCUGGUGUGGAGGAAGGACAGACGAGCAAUGCAUUCUGGGCCAGUGACGUCCAUCACGACCAAGGUGACAGGCUGUCACACCGACUGUCAGUGCAAUGGAUGAGCCUGCGCGUGUCAGGAAGAUUGCUGAUGUCCUGGCCAAGCUUAGUCCAGCAGUCCUCCUGACACUGGUUAUGAAGUGUGUGAGGCCUGGCAGAAGGAAUAUGAAAUGGAGAGGCUGGAGAUAAGCUGUGGCGUUCCAAUGGGAUUUUCUCUUCUCCUUUGCCCAAACGGACACAGAGAUGAGAGCACAGAUAGCAGACGGGAGAGGUGAAAGGUGGACCAGAGAUACUGAACCCUGGGGUUUGUGAUGACUAUCUCUGGCAGGACUGCCGGAUAUAAUCCUGAGUGGUCUAGUCUGUGGCGCAGUUAAGAACUGCUUUGUGUAUGACUGACAAAUGACCUGGGUGAGCGUUGCAGUGAUUACAUCAACUGGAGGAUGAGGAGGAGGAGAGCAGGAGCAGGCAGAAGCGAGUCUGAGAGGAGGACAGCAGGGCUGCAGGGGAGGUUAUGCAAGGCUGCUGUUUACUGGCUCUGAGGAAUGCUGAGUGACAGAGUGGACAAAAUACCUAAUUUUUUUCACGACGGCCAUGCUGGAGCUCCCAAUGACAAGACUAUCAAUGGUGGAGACAUGUGCCUGUUUGACAUGGGUGGAGAGUACUACUGCAACUCUUCCGACAGCUGCUCUGCUCCUGCUCUUCUACAGCAGGACUUUCUCAGAGGCUGUGCUCAAAUCCUGCCAAGCUGCCAUGGCUGCCACAAAACCAGAAUAACCCCCCUCGCCCUUUCCUGGAUUGAGGAAAACAUUGCGGUGACCGCAGAUGGGAUCGAGUUGCUCACCUCCAUCCCACACACCAUCAAGGAGAUCAAGGAGUUCAUGGAGGAGGCCCAGGGUGACCCCAAGUCAUUCAGCCCCGUCAGCCAGAAGCUCUGAGAGGACAGGCUGGAGCUGCGGUUUCAUCCCAAAUCCACGUUUUAGAGCUUGUCUGAAAUGGGAAGUUAGCUUUGAUUUCCAGAUCUAUACAACGGUCUGAUAUGCAUGCUAACUUUUAAAUAUAAUUUGUUGGGCAUCAGUGACUGGUCUGGUUGUCUGAGAUUGUAUAUCCUCAGACAGCUUAACAUUUAAAGAUCACAUUAUAUUUUGAUCACUUUAGCAUCAAAUGCUCUUAAAACAAUGCAGGCUACCUGCAAUGGCAUGCAUCAUUGUUAGCAGAUUAUCUACAGAGAUUGCUGAAUCGGGUCUUUGAGCAGGUCCAAAGAAUAGAAUAUUGUGAUUCACUUGCUUUUUAGAAAUAUAAGAUACAUGUUUGCAUGGAAGUA